rnacentral:tRNA from 1 species
GGGGACAUAGCUUAACGGGUAGAGUGCUUGCCUUGCAUGCAUGAGGCCCCAGGUCCAAUUCCCAGCCCCA